UACGUAGGGUGCAAGCGUUAUCCGGAAUUAUUGGGCGUAAAGGGUGCGUAGGCGGUUUGGUAAGUCUCUUGUGAAAUCUAUGGGCUCAACUCAUAGUCUGCAAGGGAAACUGCCGGGCUUGAGUGUGGGAGAGGUGAGUGGAAUUUCCGGUGUAGCGGUGAAAUGCGUAGAUAUCGGAAGGAACACCUGUGGCGAAAGCGGCUCACUGGACCACAACUGACGCUGAGGCACGAAAGCUAGGGGAGCAAACAGG
rnacentral:rRNA from 1 species